GAGCUGUGGAUAUCCUCCAGGUGAAAAGAGGCUCAACAACAGCAGAGGAAGGAGGAAAACAAACAGGUACCACUGGCCUUCUGAGGUAGACCAGACAGGAAACAGGACCAGAAACCCCCACAGUUGUUAAGUGUGCUUCAGAAAGUAAGAAUCACUUCAGAGAAUGCAUCCUGCCUUACUACAACUGAAGUACUGUAGUCCUGUUGGAGACAGCAGGGAAUCAUCUCCUGAAUUUACAGUUCUUAAUAGUCGGGUCCUGAGCAUCUGAGGACUAAAUACAGCUGAAACAGAAAAUAUGACAGCAUACGUAUAGAUACCUACUCAGCUAUUUCUUCUUUGUGAUCAGUUCAAUAAAUUAAAUUUUUCAU